UUUUUGGUUAGGUGUAUGUAUGAUUAGGUAUAUUCGGCCAUAUGAGUAAAUAUAUAGAUGAUGUUAAAUUUGAUUAUGUAUAAUGGGCCAUAUAGGGUACAUAUUGUGAUAUUAACUUUGAUUCUCUAUAAUUGAUCAAGUGGGUGAUUAGUAAGGGUGAUUGCCGAAUAUACUAACAUACAUAUGCAUGUGUAAUUGGAUUGUAAAUAUUUAGCAAGGCGGUUAAACUAGUUGAUUUAUUGAUUAAGCUCAAGGAGUUAAAGGAGGAGAAUCGAGCAAAGACAAAGAAAAGAUCAUCGAGUAGCCGAGUUGGAACCAUCUUACCCAACACAAGUAAGUCAUUAAGCAUAUCUUUGGUAUUGAUUUAAAUGAUCGUAAUACCUAUACCAUUGUGUUUAAUGAGAUGAAAUGUAUACAAAUGUAUAUGUAAGUAGAGAUGAAAUUUGUCGAAUGUAAAAAGGAAGUGAAGCCUAUAGAGUGGCUGAUUUUCGGCACUAAGUGUGCGGGCAAUAAGUGUUCACGGUCAUGAGAUUGGCACUAAGUGUGCGGGUUUAAAUUGUACAGCACUAAGUGUGCGAGUUUAAAGUACAUGGCACUAAGUGUGCGCGGUUGAUUAUUAAGCACUAUGUGUGCGAACCCAAUAUAUAUUUUCUAUAAAUUAUUUACAUGAAGGGUGCGACUUUACCGAGUCGAUUUUGGACAGCGGAAAAGGUAAGUGUGCGAACUUGAAAUGCAUGGCACUAAGUGUGUGAGUUUAAAGUGCGUGGCACUAAGUGUGCGUGGUUGAUUAUUAAACAUUAUGUGUGCAACCCAAUAUAUAUUUUCUAUAAAUUAUUUACAUGAAGGGUGCGACUUUACCGAGUUGAUUUUGGACAGCGGAAAAGGUAAGUGUGCGAACUUGAAAUGCAUGGCACUAAGUGUGUGAGUUUAAAGUGCAUGGCACUAAGUGUGCGUGGUUGAUUACUAAACAUUAUGUGUGCAACCCAAUAUAUAUUUUCUAUAAAUUAUUUACAUGAAGGGUGUGACUUUACCGAGUCGAUUUUGGACAGCGGAAAAAGGUAAGUACCUUGAGUUCAUGGCUAAUAGGCGCUAUGUUUAUAUUUGGAGUUGAGCUUGGUAAGUUUUGAACCUAUGUGACAAUUAUAGUUGAAGUCACGUACAAUAGGUUCAUUGUGGAAUAGGUGAAAGUUCGUUUAAUUGUAUGAUUAUAACGAAAAUAAAAUGAUGUAUGAAAGGUCAAUGUAGGACUUGGUAUGAGAUUGAACCAUAGGGUUUAAGGAACUAUGGUAUAGUUUGGUAUGGAUAGAGUACUUAACCUCAUUUCAUUGUUUCUUGUUGUGAUAAUUUUAUUAAUGGAUGGUUGUGGAAUGCUUAUGGCUUACUGAGCUAUAUACUCAUUCGGUGUUUGCUUGUCACCUAUUCUAGGUUUCUUGGACUCGUCUCUUUUUGCGUGAUUGUGCCGUCGUCGAAGUCAUCACACUGGCUAGCAACCUUUGGUAUUUUCUUCUUAGUUGGUCUAAGAGAACAUUUCGGCAUGUAUAGGCUAAUAUGUUUUGUUGAAAUUUGGUAUGUAAACUUUUAGCCAUGCGAAAAUGGCAUAAUGUUCGGUUGAAUUUGGUUCUAAUGUUGGGUCGUAAGUCUUGGUAAUACGAUUUUUAUGCCAUAUGUCAUGGCUGAUUAAUUUUGGUGUUAAGAUUCAUGAUACGGCAAUAGCGUAGUAGGGAGAUGUUUGACAAUGAUUAGCCUUUGGUAUGGCUAGUCAUGAGUAUAAUUUUGUGAUAUGUAUGAUGAAUUACUAGUUAGAUCAAUGAGAAAUCACGAAAUGGACAUAGUUGCUUCAGUAACAGAUGCUGGCAGCAGCAGUGACGUGGGAUUGAAAAAUUACAAAAAUUAGUAGGAAUGGUAUUAAAUAGUGAAUAAAUUAUGUAAUCGAAGCUCGAUGAGUCUAUUUUCAUAUAGAAGUAACAAAAAAAUCAUAUGGACAGUAUGUUAAGAGAUAUUCAGGUUCUCGUGACACAGGGCCAGAACGGUUUCUGGGUUCCCUGUUCCGACUUUGGAAAUUCAUUAUAAAUUAACCAGAGAUAAUUAGGAGCCAUUCCAUAUAUGUAUAGAUUCCUCUCUGAGUCUAGUUUCUAUAGAAACAAACGGCAUUAGUAUUGAAGCUCUGUACAGGGAGAUAUCUAGGUCGUAAUGCGCAAAGGUCAGUGUAGUCGACCCCAGUAACAUGGGAGACUUUGACUAAUAAACUGUACUAAUUGGCCCGACCAAAAAUCCUAUAAAAAAAUAUGUAGAUGGGCAUAUGAGUCUAGUUUCAGGGAAAAUUCACGGAACUGGAUUUCGAGUUCUAUAUGUAGAUGGGCAGAUUGGCAGCUUGUCUGGAAAAAUUUUAAUAAGUGGUUUGAAGCCUGUUAACACCUCGUGUUCGACUCCGGCGACGGUCUCGGGUUCAGGGUGUUACAUCCCCUAUUACCGAUCGGAUCCCCCUCGUUCUUUUGCACGACCCGACCCUAGGGUCCCCAAGUGGGAGACUUGGUGUAAGGAGUUAGUUAAACACUUGGCCGUGCUACCCCCUUCGGGAAACAUGGCACAACGGGGGCCUUUGUUGGUAACUCCAGGCAUUUGUUCAAUUUUCUGCCCUGCCGUGCCAUCAUGCCAUAAUUAAUGGACCCAACAUUCGGCUUCUUGUAUUUGUUUUGGGCCAACAGUAAAAUUUUCAGUUAAAAACACUAAGUCACCUAAAAUAACUGUCCCCGUUUCAGACAUGUGGGGAGCUCCGCACUGUCGGCACCUUGGUGGCUCGGAUGUGUAGGAGCCUCGAGCAGUAUCGGCACCUUGGUGGCUCGGAUGUGCGGAAGCCUCGAGCACCAUUGGCACCUUGGUGCCUCGGAUCUGCGGGAGCCCCGAGCACCAUCGGUAACUUUGGCCCCUGUUGGUGCGAAAGCGUUGGGCUAAAAAAAGUGUCCCUGUUUCAGACACAUGUAUGUCGCCUAGUAACGCAUUGACCAAGUUUUUUUAGCUCUUUAGGGGGGAAGUGACAUUGAGGUAGCAAGGGUUAUCCAGGGCACUGCCCAUGCCCAUCGCAUGCCCGGACGUCGGUGCCCCUACCACCGGUUAGGUUCUCAAUGGUGCUCCGAUGAUCCAUCCCGACAAGGCAUCCUGGAAUAUACGAAAACGAUGAACCGAGUCCCUCCCCAAUACCAAAGGUAGAAUUCGAAUAUCGUUACAUGUUCGAUACCCAACAGUGAAUGAAUCGUCCAGGUCCCUCCCGAUUCCAGGGGUAGAAUUCGGAUACCCAACAAUGAAUGAACCGUCCCGGUCCCUCCCCUUUUGCAACAAGAGCCUCCAGCACCUUGGUGGCUUGGAUUUGCAGGAGCCUCGAACACCAUCGGAACCUUGGUGGCUCAGAUGAGGGAGAGCCUCGAGCACCAUCAGCACCUUGGUGCUCAGAUGUGCUGGAGCCUCGGCCACCAUCGACAACCUUGGUGCCUGGAUGUGCGAGAGGCUCGAGCAUAAUCGGUACCUUGGUGCUUGUAUGUGCGAGAGCCUCGAGCAUCACCGGCACCUUGGUGACUCGGAUGUGUGGGAGCCUUUGAUACCAUCAGCAACCUUGGUGCUUGGAUGUGCGAGAGCCUCGAGCACCAUCGGUACCUUGGUGCUUGGAUGUCCGAGAGCCUCGAGCACCAAAGCAAAAGUUGGGCCCCUGUUGGUGCGGGAGCGUUGAGUAAAAAAAGUGUCCCUGUUUCGGACACAUAAAUGUCGCCUGGUAGCCCAUCAAAAAAAAAGAAUGUCCCCUGGUAGCGGUAGCAAGCAAUGCGCGCGUUUUCUAUUUUUCUCCAAGAUUUGGACGAUUUCGGUUCUUAAAUUUUUUGUUGUGUGUCUGCCUUAUUCGGUUUGGAUAUUAUGGCAGUAAAAGGGGCAAGUGGGCGAUGGCAAAACCAAGACAUUAGACGGGACCAUUAGGGUAUGGAAGGCAUCAUGGGUGAGUCGGUGUCCAGGAUCCCUUUCAAGGACAAUGAAAGAAAAGUCAAGGAUCUAUGUGACAACAGAAAUAGGCGGUCGAAAAGAGAGAGGGUUAAGGAGAUUUAUGGUGACUCUUUGGGGGACUACAUAUGCAAUUUGACCAUUCCUCAUAAUGGGGUCAAAGACACCAGAACGUGGUUACAAAACCCGCAUGGGACCUACACAACCAAGUCAGCAUACUCAUGGAUGAUUCUUAAUAAAGUCGGCUUUGGCCCCCAUAGAUUUUUGUGGCGCGAUAUUUGGAAACUCAAAAUGAUCCCAAAGAUCAAAAUCUUUAGCUGGAGAAUUGGUCAUAAUAUUUUGCCAACUUUUGACAAUAUAGCUCGCAUUCGUCAGGGUUUUAAUAAUUCUUGCCCGAGGUGCAAAAAGAGUGAAGAAACUUUGAUUCAUGCUAUGAAAGACUGUCCUAAGGCGCGUGAAAUCCUUGUUGCUGGGGGUUUAAAUAACAGUCAGCUCGACAGGAAUUAGACAAAUUGUAUCGACUGGCUUGAGGACGUUUUUCGGGAGCUUGACAAAAAGGCUGCUGCUGAUUUUUUAACCCUGCUCUGGAAUAGUUGGAACGACAGAAAUAAUAUGGUGUUUAAAGGGAAGAUGAAUCUGCGGAGAUGAUAUGGGAAAGGACGCAAACGUUAAGCAAAGAUUUCAGAAUUUUCAAUCUUACUGAGCCUGCGGUCAUGUCAACUAAUUUGGUGAAGAAGAAUUGGAAAAAACCCCCUGAUGGCAGUAUUAAAAUUAACGUGGAUGCUACUGUUUUAAAUGGUUGCAGAGGAGUGGGAGCGAUCUCGAGAGAUCACGAUGGCUUUGUGAUAGGGGGCUAGUAUACUUUCAAGGAAAAGGCUAUGGAUGUUAUCUGGGCAGAGUUGGAGGCGUUUAAAGAAGGGUUAAAGCUGGCUGAACGGUUCAAGGUGGGCAGAUUAAUUGUGGAGUUGGAUAGUGCCAUGCUGGUCAACGCGGUCAAAAAAAUAAGGAUGGAUAUUACCAUUUUGGGCUAGUGCGUUAGAAGAGAAUGUGACGCUUUCAACAAAUUUGAAUCGUUCCAAGUAAUUUGGAUUAAUCGUAAUAGAAACUACACUGCAGAUUUUUUUAUGUAAAUUAGCGAUUAGGAAUAAAAAUGAUUUGUAUUUCGAUAUGGAGUAUCCGUCGGAUAUCCAUAACAUUAUUAUUCAUGAUGCUAUUAAUUGAGAUUGACCAUUUGGGUCGUUUUUGAUAAAAAAAAACGAAUGUCGCCUAGUAGGGUCGCCUGGUAGAAGCAGCGAACGAGAGUAGCAUGCGCACGUUUUUUGUUUUUUCUCCAAGAUUUGGAUGAUUUCGGUUCUUGAAAUUUUGUUGUGUGUCUACCUUAUUCGCUUUGAAUAUUAUGGCAGUAAAGGGGGUUUGAUUGUGUGAUUUCUUUUGGUGUUGUUUCUUACGUCUUUGUUUAGCUGUUUCUGUUUGGGGGUGCGUCUGAGUUGUUGGUGAUUGGUGUCAGACGGUGUUUGUUCGGUGACAAGACUAUUGCGCUGCUUUGGUGCAUCGGGGUUCGUGCACUGGGCUUGCCUGUUGGUUCCUGGUUGUGCUUUUUGCUUUCUCGGUGGUAGAGGGUUUUUUGGACCGCUGGACAAUACGUGUUGCGUGUGGGGCCCGUCUGUCGUCUUCCUUCAGUUUUUUUGGUUUAUUUUAUUAUUUUCUCCAUUAUUCUCUAUUUCCAUUGAUUUCUUGGGUGCUUUUACGUUGGUUUGUGUUGCUUUUUGUUUGGUUUUGCAUGGUUUUACGAUUCUCUCGUGAGAUUUGACUCGUUGCCACCAUGGUCCUCACGGAGGUUUCUGAUUUUAUGUUCUUUGGCUUUCCUUUUCCGUAUGUUUCUUGGGUGUUGUUUGCAUGAAUUUUAGGACUUUUUUCUUUUCUUGGCUGUUUGUGGUCCCCACGGUGAUCAGGUCUUUGACUCGAGUGAAGCUGAUCGCCUUUUUUACGUGUUCUCUUGCAUGUUCUGUGGUUUGUCUUUUAUUUCUCCUUUUUUUUCUACGUUUUCUGCAUGGUUUCUUGCAUGUAGGGUUUCUGGGCUACACGAAUCUUGCUUAGGCGGGGGACUGGACUUUUCUUUUCAUCGGUUGGCUCCUUUUUCCUGUUCUCUGAUUGUGUAGGAUUAGGCCCUCACUGAAUCUGUUAAUUUUGGUAAAUUUUCCAUUGGUUUGUUCGUUUCUUGUUCCUUGUGUGUUCGUGGGUUGGCUUUAUUGUUACCUGGUUUGGCUGUCUUUUCUCUGCUCUCUUCGUCGUUUAUGUUUGUCUUUUUUCGAGUGCGUCUGGCUUUGGCCUUUUUUUGGUUCUUGGUUGUCUUGAUAGGUACCUAUUGGGCGACAUAUGGAAGAAAGACAAGGUACUAACUUUAGAACAAUGAUGGAUGAGAUCAAUGAACUUCUGGAGAAGCUGAAAUUCUCAGAAGAAGAGACCACUCGGGUUGUUAGUACAAGUGAAGUUAACAAUGCCCGUGGCUUUGAGUCAUGGGCGAUCGGUAGAAUCAUGGCGAUCGAACCACCAAACAUGGAGGCGAUGUAUAGGGUUUUCAAAUCGCUAUGGUUUACAAAAGAGGAGGUGGAUUUUGUAGCGCUAAAAGAGGGGCCCGUCAUUGUUAAAUUUGGAUGCAUUGAGGAUAGUAGCCGUAUUCUAAAUCUCUCGCCCUGGCUGUUUGAUCGUUGCCUAUUCUCCAUGGUGCUGUUUGAAAAAGGAAAAGAAAUUGACUUGUAUGAGUUUUGGAUGUCACCUUUCUGGCUGAGGGUUUACAAUAUCCCUAUUGAACUGAUGGAUCGUCGGACGGCUCUAGAUAUUGGCAAUGCUAUAGAAGAGCUAGUUGCUAUUGAUUGGAAGGACCGGAAUGGAGGAUGGACAGAGUUCAUGAGACUCAAAGUUAAGAUCAAUGCAUUAAAACCAUGGAGAAGAAUUGUGAAACUUGUUGAUAAGGAUGGGUUAGAAACGAUAGGGUUGCUAAAGUAUGAGAAACUCCCGAAUUUUUGCUACGAGUGUGGAAUUAUAGGACAUACUGCUAAAAAGUGUUCUUUUAUCAAGGGGGAUGAUGGAUUGAAUGGUCUAAGCUCUCAGUACGGGAGCUGGAUGAGGGCACCCAUCGGGACCCACAACCAAAACAGAGGUUUGAGAAGAAAUGGGGCGGAGUUCAUUAUGGCUAAGGCCAGGAUAAGUGUGGAAAAAAACAAGAGUCAGACAAAUUCGAGGGGUGGAAGUGAGCAGGCUGUGCAAAAAGGGAAAGAAAAGGGUGGAGAAGAGGGCUCCAUAUCCAACUCUCCUCUGAAAGGAAGUACCAUAGGACUAUGAGGGAUGGAAUGGGAAGAUUCAAGAGCAAACGAAAAAGACAAAGGGGUCCUAAUGGAGAGAACACGGAUGACAGCCAGGCCAGGCUUGUUAAGAGAAAACUUUUAGAUUCUAUUUCACCUUUGAAGGUGGUGGCUGGUGACCAGCUCCGCCAUGAGCAAUGAAUUUUUUUUGCUGAAACUGUCGUGGGGUUGGAAACCCUGCGACAGUUCGUGAGUUAAAGCAACUCCUUGUUGCUAAUGAUCCGGAUAUUGUUUUUCUUUGUGAGACAAAAAUUCAUUCCAAUGCGUUUUCUCGUAUUCGCUCGACAUGCAGGAUGGAGGGGUGUCUUGCUGUUUGUUCAGAGGGGAGGAGUGGUGGGUUGGCUCUGAUGUGGAGAGAAGGUGUUAGGGUCACAGUGCAGAAUUAUUCCAAAUAUCACAUUGAUGCUUCUGACAGUAUGCAAGAUGGUGAGAAUCUUAGGUUCACGGGAUUCUAUGGUCAAGUUGACCCGCGCUUAAGACAACAUGCUUGGGAUAUGUUGAGAAGGGUUAAGAGUAGGAAUAAUGAAAAAUGGAUUGUGGGGGGGAUUUUAACGACAUUUUGAACAAUACCGAAAGGAAGGUGGCCGUAGAAAACCUAAAACCCUCAUGGAUGAUUUUGCUAACUUCCUCGAUGAGCUGAACCUCUUCGAUGCUAAAACCUCUAAUGGGUGGUUCACGUGGACCAAGAACAGAUAGGGCAAGGGUUUGGUGAAGGAGAGGCUUGAUAGAUUUAUCGUUUCUGAUGCAGUUGUGGAAAGCUUGCCGUUUCUUACUUCCUAUAUUGUUAGACAAUCUAAAUCUGACCAUGAAGCUAACCUUAUGGACACGGACGGGAGCAAGCCAAACGAUAAGAGUAUUGACCAGAGGGCGUGGUUUAGGUACGACCAUUGUUGGGCAGAGGAGAAGGGUGCUAGAGACAUUAUUUCUGGAAUUUGGUCGAACAGGGAGAGGGACACGCUGGAGAAGAUGGAGUCUGUUAGGGUUAAUAUAGGGUCGUGGUAAUACCACCGCUUUAGAAAUACGAAGACUAGGAUUAAAGAAUUGGAGAAGGAGAUCAGCAAGUUAAUGGACGGGACUUUAAGUGAUCAGUCGACGAGCCUCCUUAAAAAUGCUAGAAGGAAGUUGGGCCAUCUUUAUGAUGUUGAGGAAAGGCAUUGGGCUACUAGGGUUCAUUCCCAGUGGCUUAAUGACGGGGACAGAAAUACCCGUUAUUUCCAUGUUCGGGCUUCGGGCCACAAAAAUAAAAAUUACAUUGAGAGGCUGAAAGAUAAAAAUGGCAACUGGCAUGAGGACAAGAAGGAGAUCUGCCAUAUUGCGUCGAAUUAAUUUAAUGAGCUUUUCAAGACUUCGAUAAACAUGGAUGAUGAUUGUGAUCUUCAGGUUGUGCCCGAGUGUAUUAAUGAUGAGAUUAAUAGGAAGUUGAACAGGGAGUUCACAAAUGAGGAGAUCUUGAGAGCCUUAAACUAGAUGGACCCUCGCAAGGCUCCUGACAUUGAUGGUUUGUUGGGGAGUUUUUUCAAGGAUCACUAGCCGAGUGUGGGGGAUGAUAUUCUUCUCCUAUGUCACGAUAUCCUGCAAGGCAAAAGGAGUGCUGCAUGUGUUAAUGAGACGCUUAUUGUGUUAAUCCCAAAGAUUAAAAACCCCUGCGAUGUGGUGAACUUUCGCCCUAUAAGCCUUUGUAAGGUGGUCUACAAGAUCGUGGCUAAGACCCUUGCAAAUCGGCUUAAGGAGGUCCUUCACUAGUGUAUUAGUCACAAUCAAAGUGCCUUUGUUCCCAACAGAAUGAUCCAUGACAAUGUCUUAGUAGCCCACGAGCUCAUGCACUACCUUCACAGUUCCAAAAAUGGCCCGAAUAAGGGUUGUGUGGUUAAGCUCGACAUGAGCAAGGCUUAUGACUGGGUCGAGUGGCAUUUCUUGGAAAAUUUUUUGCUUAAAAUGGGCUUCUCUAAUGCUUGGGUGUUUAAAAUUAUGGAUUGUGUUUGCUCUGUUCAGUAUAGAGUUAAAUGUAAUAAAACUCUGUCCGAGGUUAUUUCUCCGAAAAGGGGGCUUCGUCAGGGGGACCCAUUAUCCCCCUAUUUGUUUUUGUUUUGCAUGGAUGCCUUCUCUCGUAUGCUUUUUCAGGCUCAAGGUCUUAAUAAACUGAAAGGCAUUAGGGCUAAUAAGGAUGGCCCGAGAAUUAAUCAUCUCUUUUUUGCUGACGAUGCUCUUUUAUUUGUUAGGAAUAAGAAAAGCGAGGUGCUGGAGUUCACAAAGAUCCUGGAGGUGUUCGAGAGGAUGUCUGGUCAACAGGUCAAUUUGCAAAAGUCCAUGGUUUAUUUUAGUCCAAAUACUAAUACUGCUAGUCGUGCUAUUGUUGGGGGGCAUCUCAAGAUGAAGGUUGUGGCACAUUUUGAUGGUUACCUUGGGUGCCCCCUUCCGAUGGGGAAAAAUAAGUCUGGGGCCUUCAAAAGCAUUCUUGAUUGGGUUGCCAUUAGGAUCAACAACUGGUCUAAGAGACUCUUACCUAAUGGUGGUAAGGAGAUUUUCAUUAAAUCGAUUCUUCAGUCGAUUCCUACGUACGCCUUUUUGGUUCCUAUGGGUGUUUUGGAGGAGAUCCAAGCUAUGAUCGGCUGUGUGUGGUGGGGGGCAAAAACAUGAACAAAGGCUGACAUAUGGUAGCUUGGGAUAGUAUGUGUUACCCUAAAGGCAUGAGGGCUCGGCUUUAGGGCUCUCCGUCAUUUUAAUGUGGCGUUAUUGGGUAGACAAGUGUGGCGCCUCAUGAACUACAGGGAUACGCUUUGUUAUAAAGUCCUCAGUGCUAAAUAUUUCCCGGAGGGGGGUGUUUUGCGUCCUAAAAGGAGUGAUAAGCCUUCUUUCACGUGGAAGAGCAUUGUGCAGACGGCAAGUGUUUUGCAUGAUGGCUUUGGCUAGAAUGUGGGUGACAGGAGGAAGAUUGAUUUUUGGAAUGAGAAUUGGGGUUUUGAGGGUUUAUCGGGUGACUCUAUUUGUCUUCCUAGGUGGGAGGUCCAGGAGAAUAGAGUUUGCGAGCGGAUGAAUGAGGAGAAAGAUGGCUGGAAUGAGAAGAGGGUGAGGGAGAUUUAUGGUGAUUUCGUGGGGGCCAAGACAGUAAUAUUUCCAUUCUCUAUGAUGGCCCGAAAGAUUCUCGUAUUUGGUUCCAUAGCCCGUUUGGUAAUUAUUCCACUAAGUCUGCUUAUUCAUGGUUGACUCUUAGGCAUGUCUGGUUGGGGCCUCACCGGUUCUUUUGGAAGAUGGUGUGGAAGCUGCAAACGUUGCCAAAGAUUAGAAUUUUCUGCUGGCGUAUUGGGGAUGAUAUUCUCCCCACUUUUGAAAAAAUUUCCACUAUCAGAAGGGACUUCGACAGUGACUGUCCGAGGUGUGGAAGGGACAAAGAGACCAUUAUUCAGGCAUUGAAAGAUUGCCCUAAGGCUUAGGCGGUGUUGGUGCAUGGGGGUCUGAACAGUAAUCUGCUGGAUGGCAGCCACUGUCGGGGCGUGGACUGGAUCGAAGAGGUGGCCCACUUUCUGGAUGUUAAAGCUCUUUCGGACUUCGUUACUGUUCUUUGGAAUAUCUGGAACAUCAGGAAUAACAAAGUUUUUGGGAAUAUGGAGGAGGACGCCAAAGUGACGUUGGAGAGGGCUGUCGCGUUAAGCCAUGAUUUACGCAUCUUUAAUCUGCUGAAGGAGCCGUCUUUGCCAAAGCCUGCUGUGAAAAAGGGUGGCGGAAGCCGAACCAAGGGAUGGUUAAGAUUAACUUUGAUGCUGUUGUAAAAGAUCGAAAAACUAGCUUUGGAAUUAUUGCUAGAGACCACGAUGGCUUUGUACUAGGAGGCGUGCUGGGGUGUUAAACAGGAACUACAAUACGGAAUGGGCAGAGUUGUACAUGCUGGAAGAGAGCAUUAAUUCGGCUAGGGAUAAUUCGUGGGCCAGGGUGGAAUUUGAGUCUGAUUGUGCCAGUUUGGUUAACCGCCUUAGAAGAUCGAAUGUUGACUUGUCAACUAUGGGCCAUCGCAUUCGGGAUUUGCUUAAUUUUUUGAACCCGAACAUUAGUUUUAUUUUUAAGUGGGCUCCCCGCUGUUGUAAUAAAGCUGCUGAUCAGCUUUGUAGUUGGGCUAUGUUUAAUAAUUGUACUGAAACUUUCGAUAUGGAUUAUCCUAAGGAAAUCCAUAAUAUUAUUUUCAAUGAUGCUAUUAAUUGAGGUGGCCUUUGAGCCUUUUCUUUAACAAAAAAAGAAUCUCGCAUGGUAGCGUAUUGACCAAGUUUUUUUAGCUCUUUAGGGGGGAGAUGAUAUUGAGCGACCAGGGGUUGUCCAGGGCACUGCCCACUCCCACCGCAUGCCUGAACGUCGGUGCCCCCCACCGUCGGUUAGGUUCCCGGCGAUCCAUCCCCGGCGGUGCUCCGGCGAACCGUCCCGGCGGUGCUCUGGCGAACCAUUCCGGCAGCAUAGGCCCUUGGUCGUGCGGGAGCCUCGGGCACCAUAGGCAUCUUGGUGCUAGGAUGUACGGGAGCCUCGGACACCAUCGGCAACCUAGGCCCUUGGUCGUACGAGAGCCUCGGGCACCAUAGGCAUCUAGGUGCUAGGAUGUACGGGAGCCUCGGACACCAUCGGCAACCUAGGCCUUUGGUCGUGCGAGAGCCUCGGGCACCAUCGGCACCUAGGCCCUUGGUCGUGCACGAGCCUCGAGCACCAUCGGCAACCUAGGCCCUUGGUCGUGCGAGAGCUUCGAGCACCACCGGCACCUGGGCACUCGAAUGUGCGGGAGCCUCAGACACCAUCGGCAACCUAGGCCCUUGGUCGUGCGAAAGCCUCGGGCACCAUCAGCACCUAGGCGCUCAAAUGUGCGGGAGCCUCGGACACCAUCGACAAACCAGGCCCGUGGUCGUGCAGGACCCUUGGACACGAUCGGCACCUGAGUGCUCGGAUGUGCGGGAGCGUCGGACAUCAUCGACAAACUCUGCCCUUGGUCUUGCGGGAGACUCGGACACCAUCGGCUACCUAGGCCCUUGGUCGUGCAGGAGCCUCAGGCACCAUCGGAACCUCGGUGCUAUGAUGUGCGAGAGCCUCGGCCAAUGUCGGCAUCUUAGGCCCUUGGUCGUGUAGAAGCCUCAAGAACCAUCGACACCUUGGUGCUUGGAUGUGCGAGAACUUCAGACACCAUCG
rnacentral:lncRNA from 1 species